GAGGUUGUGGCUCAGUGGUACAGCGGUUGCCUAGCAUGCAUGAGGCUCUGGGUUUGAUUCCCAGCACCACA
rnacentral:tRNA from 1 species